UGGGGAAUAUUGGACAAUGGGCGAAAGCCUGAUCCAGCAACGCCGCGUGGAGGAUGAAGGCCUUCGGGUUGUAAACUCCUGUUAGGGGGAACGAAAGGUCGCGGGUUAACAGCCGGCGGCCCUGACGGUACCUCCAGAGGAAGCCCCGGCUAACUCUGUGCCAGCAGCCGCGGUAAUACAGAGGGGGCGAGCGUUAUUCGGAAUUAUUGGGCGUAAAGGGCGCGUAGGCGGCAAGGUAAGUCAAAGGUGAAAUCCCUCGGCUCAACUGAGGAACUGCCUUUGAAACUGCCUAGCUUGAGGCCGGGAGAGGGUAGUGGAAUUCCCAGUGUAGCGGUGAAAUGCGUAGAUACUGGGAGGAACACCAGUGGCGAAGGCGGCUACCUGGACCGGUUCUGACGCUGAUGCGCGAAAGCGUGGGGAGCAAACAGG
rnacentral:rRNA from 1 species